rnacentral:rRNA from 1 species
UACGGAGGAUGCGAGCGUUAUCCGGAUUUAUUGGGUUUAAAGGGUGCGUAGGCGGGCUGUUAAGUCAGCUGUGAAAGUCCGCGGCUCAACCGUGGAAUUGCAGUUGAAACUGGAGGCCUUGAGUGCACACAGGGAUGCCGGAAUUCAUGGUGUAGCGGUGAAAUGCUUAGAUAUCACGCAGAACUCCGAUUGCGAAGGCAGCAUACCGGCGCCCGACUGACGCUGAAGCACGAAAGCGUGGGUAUCGAACAGG